GACGAACGCUGGCGGCGUGCUUAACACAUGCAAGUCGAACGGAAAGGCCCUGCUUGCAGGGUACUCGAGUGGCGAACGGGUGAGUAACACGUGGGUGAUCUGCCCUGCACUUCGGGAUAAGCCUGGGAAACUGGGUCUAAUACCGGAUAGGAGCCAUUUUUAGUGUGAUGGUUGGAAAGUUUUUUCGGUGUAGGAUGAGCUCGCGGCCUAUCAGCUUGUUGGUGGGGUAAUGGCCUACCAAGGCGGCGACGGGUAGCCGGCCUGAGAGGGUGGACGGCCACAUUGGGACUGAGAGACGGCCCAGACACCUACGGGAGGCAGCAGGGGGGAAUAUUGCACAAUGGGCGCAAGCCUGAUGCAGCGACGCCGCGUGGGGGAUGACGGCCUUCGGGUUGUAAACUCCUUUCGCUAGGGACGAAGCUUUUUGUGACGGUACCUAGAUAAGAAGCACCGGCUAACUACGUG
rnacentral:rRNA from 1 species